UUUCAGCUUUACUCUGUUCCUUACUGGCGAUAUAAUCUCCUUACAGUCUGGGAUAAAAGUUACUUCUCUGGGCCCCAAAGGCAGGGACAACAUCACCUGCGUUGAGGGCCAUGUGUCCCAUAUCUAAAGCCAAUAGGACCCGACACGCCUGGGCUCACACCUGAGGUCAGAAGGCCCGGUGCAGCCCUCGAGGUCUCCCUUCUCGGCCAUGUCCUUGUCCCGCGACCUGGAGACAGCCAGGAGCCUCACCCCUGUCGAAGUCCAUCUCCUCCAGCGUCUGCUGCACGCCGAACGCCACACCCGGACGAGAGCAGCACAGGGCAUCGGUACAAGGCGGCGGCGCCGCCAUGCUGGCCUUGUUCCUCCCGCAGCCGCCGGCGCAAGGACAAAACCAGAAGCAGCAGCACCAGGCACACGGCCCCCAGGGCCACCACAGCCAGCCACACCAGCCCCAGGUUUUCCAGGGGUGCCCGCGCCUCCAGGGUCACCGUUGGGCCUGCCACCACAGCCACCAGGUUACAAAUGCCUGAGGUGUCUGAGACCGUCACGUGCUGGAUCAGCAAGGACCUGGUUGAAGAAGCAGGCUCUAUGGGCAUCCUGACUCCAACCACGCCGCCCUUCACCCCUGGUCCCAGCACGUGCAGAGACCCACUCACCCAGAGUGACCACUCGCGGUCACGCAGCGGCUGGUGUUAACGCUCCAGGCACAGUAGGGGUCCCGGGCGAGGACGCAGUCUGCGCAGGAGCGGUACUUCAUGCAGUCGGCCAGGGGCAGCUGAACUAGCUGAGAGCGGGAGCCUCCAAAGAGAAGCUUCUGCAAGAGAAGGAGGGCACAAGACGGUGAGCCAGGCCAGGACGUGCCCCGACGGCAGCUCAGACUGCUACAUGGGAGCAAAUGGCAAAAGGAGCCAAAGCAGGAAGAGGGCAGUACUAAAGUCUGAGGAGAGAAAUCGAAGGACCAAAGAAUGCACAGUGGGCUUAUUAUGAGCCGGACACAAUCCUAAGCACUUUAUAGAUAUGACCUUCUUAGACAGGAACAGCAGAACCAUGAGGCUGAGGAAUAUAAUCACACAGACAGACAGACAGACAGACAGACACACACACACACACACACACACACACACACUCCAGUACAAUAUAAAUAGUGCAGGAAGUGUGUUUUCUGCUAGGCCCAUCAGCCCUCCCAAUAGCACGAGCAGAGCAUGUGUUUUCCUCUGUUUGAAUGGUGACUGCCAAUCCAUGUGUGUCUUCAACUACAGACUUUCCUUCUGCCAUGACUCCAUGUUUUAGGGAA